rnacentral:rRNA from 1 species
CCACUUCGGUGGGGAUUAGUGGCGAACGGGUGAGUAACACGUGGGCAAUCUGCCCUGCACUCUGGGACAAGCCCUGGAAACGGGGUCUAAUACCGGAUACUGACCAUCUUGGGCAUCUUUGAUGGUCGAAAGCUCCGGCGGUGCAGGAUGAGCCCGCGGCCUAUCAGCUAGUUGGUGAGGUAAUGGCUCACCAAGGCGACGACGGGUAGCCGGCCUGAGAGGGCGACCGGCCACACUGGGACUGAGACACGGCCCAGACUCCUACGGGAGGCAGCAGUGGGGAAUAUUGCACAAUGGGCGAAAGCCUGAUGCAGCGACGCCGCGUGAGGGAUGACGGCCUUCGGGUUGUAAACCUCUUUCAGCAGGGAAGAAGCGAAAGUGACGGUACCUGCAGAAGAAGCGCCGGCUAACUACGUGCCAGCAGCCGCGGUAAUACGUAGGGCGCAAGCGUUGUCCGGAAUUAUUGGGCGUAAAGAGCUCGUAGGCGGCUUGUCACGUCGGUUGUGAAAGCCCGGGGCUUAACCCCGGGUCUGCAGUCGAUACGGGCAGGCUAGAGUUCGGUAGGGGAGAUCGGAAUUCCU